rnacentral:rRNA from 1 species
CCCUUAGAUGUUCUGGGCCGCACGCGCGCUACACUGAUGCAUUCAACGAGCCUAUCCUUGACCGACAGGUCCGGGUAAUCUUUGAAUCUGCAUCGUGACGGGGAUAGAUUAUUGCAAUUAUUAAUCUUCAACGAGGAAUGCCUAGUAGGCGCAAGUCAUCAGCUUGCGUCGAUUACGUCCCUGCCCUUUGUACACACCGCCCGUCGCUCCUACCGAUUGGGUGUGCUGGUGAAAUGUUCGGAUCGGCCGUUUGUCGCGGUUUCCGCGUCAUGUGGCUGAGAAGUUCAUUAAACCCUCCCACCUAGAGGAAGGAGAAGUCGUAUCA